rnacentral:tRNA from 1 species
GCGCGAGUCGUGUAGUUCGGUAUCACGCGGUCGUGCCACGACCGAGACGGGCGUUCACGGCUUCUGUGGAGUCGUGAGCUCGAAGGAGGGUUCCUCCUCCGGCGUUCGAAUCGUCCCUCGCGCA